CCUGGUGGCUUAGUGGUUAAGAGUUUGGCUGCUAACCAAAAGGUCGUCAGUUCAAAUCCACCAGGU
rnacentral:tRNA from 1 species